AUAAGUGCUGAAAGCAUCUAAGCACGAAACUUGCCCCGAGAUGAGUUCUCCCUGACUCCUUGAGAGUCCUGAAGGAACGUUAAAGACGAUGACGUUGAUAGGUCGGAUGUGUAAGCGUAGCGAUACGUUGAGCUAACCGAUACUAAUGAACCGUGAGGCUUAACCUUACAACGCCGAAGGUGUUU
rnacentral:rRNA from 1 species